rnacentral:rRNA from 1 species
AAGACCUUGCACUUUUGGAGCGGCCGAUGUCUGAUUAGCUAGUUGGUGGGGUAAUGGCCUACCAAAGCUUCGAUCAGUAGCUGGUCUGAGAGGACGGCCAGCCACACUGGGACUGAGACACGGCCCAGACUCCUACGGGAGGCAGCAGUGGGGAAUUUUGGACAAUGGGCGCAAGCCUGAUCCAGCCAUGCCGCGUGAGUGAAGAAGGCCUUCGGGUUGUAAAGCUCUUUCAGCCGGGAAGAAAAGGUUGCGACUAAUAAUCGCAAUCCAUGACGGUACCGAAAGAAGAAGCACCGGCUAACUACGUGCCAGCAGCCGCGGUAAUACGUAGGGUGCGAGCGUUAAUCGGAAUUACUGGGCGUAAAGGGUGCGCAGGCGGUUUCGUAAGUCAGAUGUGAAAUCCCCGGGCUUAACCUGGGAACU